rnacentral:rRNA from 1 species
UACGGGGGGGGCAAGCGUUGUUCGGAAUUACUGGGCGUAAAGGGCUCGUAGGCGGCCAACUAAGUCAGACGUGAAAUCCCUCGGCUUAACCGGGGAACUGCGUCUGAUACUGGAUGGCUUGAGUUCGGGAGAGGGAUGCGGAAUUCCAGGUGUAGCGGUGAAAUGCGUAGAUAUCUGGAGGAACACCGGUGGCGAAGGCGGCUCUCUGGGACGGUACUGACGCUGAGACGCGAAAGCGUGGGGAGCGAACAGG